GACGAACGCUGGCGGCGUGCCUAACACAUGCAAGUCGAGCGGAGUCGAUCGACGGAAGCCUUCGGGCGGAAGAUGGUUGACUUAGCGGCGGAUGGGUGAGUAACGCGUGGGCAACCUGCCUCGAAGACCGGGAUAACAGCCCGAAAGGGCUGCUAAUACCGGAUGUGGUCAAGGAUCCGCAUGGAUUUUUGAUUAAAGGGGAAACCCGUUUCGAGAUGGGCCCGCGUCCUAUCAGCUAGUUGGUGAGGUAAAAGCUCACCAAGGCGACGACGGGUAGCCGGCCUGAGAGGGUGACCGGCCACACUGGAACUGAGACACGGUCCAGACUCCUACGGGGGCAGCAGUGGGGAAUCUUCCACAAUGGGCGAAAGCCUGAUGGAGCGACGCCGCGUGAGCGAAGAAGGCCUUCGGGUUGUAAGCUCUGUCUGGAGGGACGAAGGAAGUGACGGUACCUCCGGAGGAAGCCACGGCUAACUACGUG
rnacentral:rRNA from 1 species